rnacentral:rRNA from 1 species
AACGAACGCUGGCGGCAGGCCUAACACAUGCAAGUCGAGCGGACCCUUCGGGGUUAGCGGCGGACGGGUGAGUAACGCGUGGGAACAUACCCCUUUCUACGGAAUAGCCUCGGGAAAUUGGGAGUAAUACCGUAUACGUCCUUCGGGAGAAAGAUUUCUCGGUGAGGGAUUGGCCCGCGUUGGAUUAGGUAGUUGGUGGGGUAAUGGCCUACCAAGCCGACGAUCCAUAGCUGGUUUGAGAGGAUGAUCAGCCACACUGGGACUGAGACACGGCCAGACUCCUACGGGAGGCAGCAGUGGGGAAUCUUAGACAAUGGGGGAAACCCUGAUCUAGCAUGCCGCGUGAGCGAUGAUGGCCUUAGGGUUGUAAAGCUCUUUCAGUGGGGAAGAUAAUGACGGUACCCACAGAAGAAGCCCCGGCUAACUCCGUGCCAGCCGCCGCAGUAAGAC